rnacentral:rRNA from 1 species
GGCCCUAUGGGUUGUAAAGCUCUGUCAGAUUGGGAAGAAAAUCCUACGGUUAAUACCCGUGGGACUUGACGGUACCAUCAGAGGAAGCACCGGCUAACUCCGUGCCAGCAGCCGCGGUAAUACGGAGGGUGCAAGCGUUGUUCGGAUUCACUGGGUAUAAAGGGUGCGCAGGCGGCCCGAUAAGUCAGGGGUGAAAUAUGACGGCUCAACCGUCAAACUGCCCCUGAAACUGUCAGGCUUGAGUUCGAGAGAGGUAGGUGGAAUUCCAGGUGUAGCGGUGAAAUGCGUAAAUAUCUGGAGGAACACCGGUGGCGAAGGCGGCCUACUGGCUCGAUACUGACGCUCAGGCACGAAAGCAUGGGGAGCGAACGGGAUUAGAUACCCCGGUAGUCCAUGCCGUAAACGAUGGGUACUAGGUGUUGGAGGAUUCUACCCCUUCAGUGCCGCAGCUAACGCAUUAAGUACCCCACCUGGGGAGUACGAUCGCAAGGUUGAAACUCAAAGGAAUUGACGGGGGCCCGCACGAGCGGUGGAGCAUGUGGUUUAAUUCGAUGCAACGCGAAGAACCUUACCUGGGCUUGACAUGCAGGGGACAGAUGUAGAAAUACAUCCUUCUUCGGACUCCUGUACAGGUGCUGCAUGGCUGUCGUCAGCUCGUGUCGUGAAAUGUUGGGUUAAGUCCCGCAACGAGCGCAACCCU